rnacentral:lncRNA from 1 species
UUCAUGCAAACUUGUUCUGACUUCCAUCUACUGAGGGCAAUAUGAAUUCCCGACUAUCUAUGUGGAAUGACAAAUUUAUUUCAUAUUAUAUCAGCAAUUUGUCGCUUGCCAAACCAUGACACGAUCUAUAACCACGACCAUGCCAACCACAGUGGUCCUAUAUGUAAAUUAUUGUCACAGUCGUACUUCGCCAAAGGUGACCUC